AUUGAACGCUGGCGGCAUGCCUUACACAUGCAAGUCGAACGGCAGCAUGAUCUCGCUUGCUAGAUUGAUGGCGAGUGGCGGCCGGGUGAUUCAUACAUCGGAACGUGCCCUGUAGUGGGGGAUAACUAGUCGAAAGAUUAGCUACUCCCGCAUACGACCUGAGGGUGAAAGUGGGGGACCGCAAGGCCUCAUGCUAUAGGAGCGGCCGAUGUCUGAUUAGCUAGUUGGUGAGGUAAAGGCUCACCAAGGCGACGAUCAGUAGCUGGUCUGAGAGGACGAUCAGCCACACUGGGACUGAGACACGGCCCAGACUCCUACGGGAGGCAGCAGUGGGGAAUUUUGGACAAUGGGCGAAAGCCUGAUCCAGCAAUGCCGCGUGUGUGAAGAAGGCCUUCGGGUUGUAAAGCACUUUUGUCCGGAAAGAAAUGGCUCUGGUUAAUACCUGGGGUCGAUGACGGUACCGGAAGAAUAAGGACCGGCUAACUACGUG
rnacentral:rRNA from 1 species